rnacentral:lncRNA from 1 species
ACCACAGCAAACUCGUAUAUGAUCAGAAUGUAUGAAAAAAAAUCCCGAAAAGAAUCAACUUCAUGGCUGUCCGGCAGCCGGUGGAGGCGGCGACGAGUAGUCGUAGGCCGGCAGCUUCCACGUCGCCGGUGGUGGAGGCGAGAGGUACCGGUCCUCUGGUGACACCUCGUAGUUGGGCGACCCUGGUAGGUCGUAGUGUGGCGGCGUUGUCGGCUCUUCGUAGGCUGGCGGUGGCGGCGACAGGUACCGGUCCUCCGGUGACACCUCGUAGUAUGGCGGAGGUGGAGACUCUUGGUAAGCUGGGGGUGGCGGUGACUGGUACCGGUCCUCCGGCGACACCUCGUAGUGGGGUGGAGGUGGAGACUCUUGGUAAGCCGGGGGUGGCGGUGAGUGGUACCGGUCCUCCGGUGACACCUCGUAGUAGGGAGCUGGCACCUCGUAGUGGGGAGGCGUUGUCGGCUCUUGGUACGCUGGAGGUGGCGGCGAGAGGUACCUUUCCUCAGGUGAGACCUCGUAGUACGGAGGUGGGGGUAAUGGGGACGGGGGCGGAGGUGAAGGUGGUGGAGGAGACGGGGUUGGUGGAGGAGGCGAUGGCGGCGGUGGUGAAGGUGGCGGUGGAGAUGGGGAUGGGGAUGGCGGAGGAGGUGGCGGCGACGGCAACACGAACUUCUUGCACCUGAAGGCGUCGCAGUUGACAUGGUUGCUGUUGAAGAAUUGACACUGCUCGAUUGACCUCUGGUCAGGGCGGUUCGGGAUGCAGUUUCGGCGAUCGUCCAAUGCCUUGACGUGCAUGCACACCGGCGGCUCGCCGGUGAUGUAGUUGUAGGAGUAGGUGAAGUUGUGGAGAUGCGGCAGGUGGCAGAUCCCCUCCGGCAC